rnacentral:rRNA from 1 species
UACAUAAGGAGCGAGCGUUAUCCGGAUUUACUGGGCGUAAAGGGCGCGUAGGCGGCGAGAUAAGUUAGGUGUUAAAGGUUUCGGCUCAACUGGAACAUGCACCUAAGACUGUUUUGCUAGAGAGUGGGAGAGGAAAGUGGAAUUCACAGUGUAGCGGUGAAAUGCGUAGAUAUUGUGAAGAACACCAGUGGCGAAGGCGGCUUUCUGGACCACAUCUGACGCUGAGGCGCGAAAGCGUGGGGAGCAAACAGG